CGCGUAGGCGGUCGCGCGCGUCGGAGGUGAAAUCCCCGGGCUUAACCCGGGAGCUGCCUCCGAUACGGCGCGGCUUGAGUCCGGGAGAGGGGAGCAGAAUUCCCAGUGUAGCGGUGAAAUGCGUAGAUAUUGGGAGGAAUACCGGUGGCGAAGGCGGCUCCCUGGACCGGUACUGACGCUGAGGCGCGAAAGCGUGGGGAGCAAACAGGAUUAGAUACCCUGGUAGUCCACGCCGUAAACGAUGGGUGCUUGGUGUCGGGGGUAUCGACCCCUCCGGUGCCGAAGUUAACGCAUUAAGCACCCCGCCUGGGGAGUACGGUCGCAAGGCUGAA
rnacentral:rRNA from 1 species